UACGGAGGGUGCAAGCGUUGUUCGGAAUUAUUGGGCGUAAAGCGCGUGUAGGUGGUCGGGUAAGUCAGAUGUGAAAGCCUUCUGCUUAACAGAAGAAGUGCAUUUGAAACUACUCGGCUGGAGUACGGGAGAGGAGAGUGGAAUUCCCGGUGUAGAGGUGAAAUUCGUAGAUAUCGGGAGGAACACCAGUGGCGAAGGCGGCUCUCUGGUCCGAUACUGACGCUGAGACGCGAAAGCGUGGGGAG
rnacentral:rRNA from 1 species